rnacentral:rRNA from 1 species
CAAUAGCGUAUAUUAAAGUUGUUGCAGUUAAAAAGCUCGUAGUUGAAUUUUUGCUUGCCGCCGAUGUCGGAACUUCCGUACGUUCGGCGGCGUGCAUCCUUGGGUGGAACCUGUGUGGCAUUAGGUUGUCGUGCAGGGGAUGCUCAUCGUUUACUGUGAAAAAAUUAGAGUGUUCAAAGCAGGCUUAUGCCGUUGAAUAUAUUAGCAUGGAAUAAUAAGAUAGGACCUUGGUACUAUUUUGUUGGUUUGCGCACCGAGGUAAUGAUUAACAGGGACAGUUGGGGGUAUUCGUAUUCCAUUGUCAGAGGUGAAAUUCUUGGAUUUCUGGAGGACGAACUACUGCGAAAGCAUUUACCAAGGAUGUUUUCAUUAA